rnacentral:rRNA from 1 species
UACGUAGGCAGCGAGCGUUGUUCGGAGUUACUGGGCGUAAAGAGUGCGUAGGCGGUCUUCUAAGUUUGGUGUGAAAUCUCCCGGCUUAACUGGGAGGGUGCGCCGAAGACUGGAAGGCUUGAGUAUGGGAGAGGUAAGCGGAAUUCCUGGUGUAGCGGUGAAAUGCGUAGAUAUCAGGAGGAACACCUGCGGUGUAGACGGCUUACUGGACCAUAACUGACGCUGAGGCACGAAAGCGUGGGUAGCAAACAGG